GACGAACGCUGGCGGCGUGCUUAACACAUGCAAGUCGAACGAUGAAGCUGGAGCUUGCUCCGGUGGAUUAGUGGCGAACGGGUGAGUAACACGUGAGCAAUCUGCCCUUGACUCUGGGAUAACUGCGGGAAACUGUAGCUAAUACCGGAUACGAGGCUCGAAGGCAUCUUCGGGUCUGGAAAGAAUUUCGGUUAAGGAUGAGCUCGCGGCCUAUCCGCUUGUUGGUGAGGUAAUGGCUUACCAAGGCGACGACGGGUAGCCGGCCUGAGAGGGUGACCGGCAACACUGGGACUGAGACACGGCCCAGACUCCUACGGGAGGCAGCAGUGGGGAAUAUUGCACAAUGGGCGAAAGCCUGAUGCAGCAACGCCGCGUGAGGGAUGAAGGCCUUCGGGUUGUAAACCUCUUUUAGCAGGGAAGAAGCGAAAGUGACGGUACCUGCAGAAAAAGCACCGACUAACUACGUGCCAGCCGCCGCCGUAA
rnacentral:rRNA from 1 species